UAAGGAAUAUUGCUCAAUGGGAGAAAUCCUGAAGCAGCAACGCCGCGUGGAGGAUGAAGGGUCUAUGACUUGUAAACUCCUGUAAAGAAGGAAAAAAUUCCCAUUAGAUGGGAGAUGAUGGUACUUCUGGAGUAAGCCCCGGCUAACUACGUGCCAGCAGCCGCGGUAAUACGUAGGGGGCAAGCGUUGUCCGGAUUUACUGGGUGUAAAGGGUGCUCAGGCGGAUUUGUAAGUCAGAGGUGAAAUCUUACAGCUUAACUGUGAAACUGCCUUUGAUACUGCAAGCCUAGAGUAUGGAAGAGAGUGAUGGAAUAUCUGGUGUAGCAGUGAAAUGCGUAGAUAUCAGAUAGAGCACCAAUGGCGAAGGCAGUCACUUGGUCCAUUACUGACGCUAAAGCACGAAAGCGUGGGUAGCAAACA
rnacentral:rRNA from 1 species